rnacentral:rRNA from 1 species
UAGGGAAUCUUGCGCAAUGGGCGAAAGCCUGACGCAGCGACGCCGCGUGGGGGAUGAAGGCUCUUGGGUCGUAAACCCCUUUCGGCAGGGAAGAAGCGAAAGUGACGGUACCUGCAGAAGAAGCCCCGGCCAACUACGUGCCAGCAGCCGCGGUAACACGUAGGGGGCGAGCGUUGUCCGGAUUUAUUGGGCGUAAAGAGCGCGUAGGCGGCUCGGAAAGUCGGAUGUGAAAACCCGAGGCUCAACCUCGAGCUUGCAUCCGAUACUGCCGGGCUUGAGGCAGGUAGGGGAGAUCGGAAUUCCUGGUGUAGCGGUGAAAUGCGCAGAUAUCAGGAGGAACACCGGUGGCGAAGGCGGAUCUCUGGGCCUGUCCUGACGCUGAGGCGCGAAAGCUAGGGGAGCAAACAGGAUUAGAUACCCCCGUAGUCC